rnacentral:lncRNA from 1 species
AGGUAUGGAGACCAUUUAUGUACCCAGUGGCAUGUGCUUCAUCUAACCAAGAUUCAGACAUCUCAAGAGGUUAUGUAUUGUAUGGUUCUAUUCAGCUCCAAUUCAGCCUCUGGCCUGGGAACCUCCAUAUGCUAAGGGUGUGGCACUAAAAGAAAAAAAAGGAAGAACUAGCCCACCCUUGACCAGAUGUGGGUGAAUUAGAGAGUUAAUUAUACAUGUAUAUUUUCCAAUCCAUUGGUUUAUAUACAACACUAAUGUAAUUUUUAAAGGAGAAAUUUGUGGUUAGUAAUGUUUAAUCCAGUCAAAGCAUGAAGAUGAGGGAGGGAGAUUUGUAGCAAAUUAUCACUAACCUAACUGUUAGUCCAAAAGACUUUUGUCAAUCUACUAAUAAUACAAGGAGAGUGAGAAAACAUUUUAAAAAUUUCCCAUAUUCCUCAGAAAGAAAUAUUUCAAUUAUAAUGGUAACAGAACAUUACAAACCUAGGAAUAAAUUUAUUUUAAACAACAGUGCUUUACUGAGAUUAAAAGAUAUUCAUAAAUGAAAACAAAUAAUAUGUUCUUAAUCAAAGUAUCCAAUAUGCACAUUAAGUUUUGUCCUUCACACACUAAUUUAUAAGUUAAUUCAAAGUUAAAAUUGUAAUUAUGAAUAAAUACCAAAUUUUCCUUUUUUUUUCUUUAAUAAACAUCUACUGAUUUGGCAUUACUCUUAUACUUGAAGGUUUGUGCCAAAGGAAGGGAGCUGCCCUGGUCACAGGAAUGAGUACAGGGAGAAGGUGCCUCAGAAGCAGUGUGCACUUGCUGCACAGAAGUAGACAGCUGAGUCUUCAGGCUGGGUGACUGCGAUGUGCAGGGAGAAAUGCUUGGCUGUCUUAUUCAAUGAGACAGUGAGUCUUUCUUCUUCCUGCUUGACCCCAUUUGCUCGAAUGUAUGUAAGGAACUGGAGACCUUUUCCAGGUUCUUGCUUAUACCAAGGGAAGUAGUCUGAGGUACUGUCUGUAUAAGAGCAGGUGAUAACAGAGCUGUUUCCCUCCUGGACACUCAGGGUAGGACUCUGCUCCACCUUCUCUCCAAGGCUGACCCCUAGGCAGAAAGAAGAAGUCAGAGAAAGGAGAAGGGUUGUUAGGUCAUUACACUCCUGAAUUUACCUUUCCUUUUCCACAGUAACUAGAGGAAACCAGUAUAAAGCCAGUCUCCUUCUUGGACUUUCAAACAAUAUCCACUGAUAUACUCUGUUUCCCAUAAGCCCUCAACUCACAGUCCAGCUGCAGCCCCAAGAACAGGAUUGAAACUCUAAUGGAGGUCUUCAUUGCUCUCCUCAUCUAGAAUCAAUUAAGGACCUGCCAAGAGGGCUACAUCUACUAUCAAAUGAUCCCUUCUUUUCCCCGGCAGCCACAGUGGGUUCUCACAUUGUCUACCCAGCCAAUAAGAAAAGGGCCCUGCUUCUGCCCUGAGCCUAUUCAUGCAGAAUCCACUGAAAUGAACCCUCCACACAUCUUGCAUCAGCAGAGGUGCACCACCAUCUGGUGGUCACAUCUCCAACUACUGAAAACUCUGGUAAAUAUUUUUCUCUCACCCUGUGUCUGCGAGGGGCUCAGAUGCAUAAAAGCAGCAAGACGUCAAACAAAUUUAGUUGUAGGUCAGAGAUUAAGUGUAUGUAAUACUAUAGAGAUCCAGACUUAUAUCUCCGCACAGGAUUGAGUUGAUUGUUCAUAAAUUAGCAAGAGGUAGAUGCUUUCGCUGCUUGUGCAGUGAUGUGCCUGGUAUACAGAUUUGAAAUCAGGAAUGCACCAUGAUUCACUCCCUAAAACAAAGAAAAUGUAAAAUCUUCCUUUUCAGGCAAUAUCCUAUUUGUCUUUUAUGGAGAAAAAUUAUUUGUAAAAGGAAUGUGUAAGCCAAAGAUAAAAUUAGGAGAGAGAAGAUUGUUUCUAUUUCAAGUUCCUAUUAUUUCAGCCUCUGCUCCUAUAAGCUGGUCUUGCACGUGACCUUUCUUUUCCCUGAGAAUCAACACCACCAGCAGUCAAAAUGCAGAAACUUCCUUCAGUAAAGCCUAUUGUAAGAGGGAGAAUAAGAGGUAAAAGAUCAAAUCUCAAUGAUAAGGGAGCCUGGAGAAAAGCUCUAUAAGUUAGGAAAUAGUUUGACCCCAGGUUUGGUUACUUUGCCAUGAAAAACCUGACAUGCUUUAAGAAAUCUCUUCCUGGAGCUCCCGUCGUGAAUCAGUGGAAACAAAUCUGACUAGCAUCCAUGAGGAUGCAGGUUAGAUCCCUGGCCUUGAUCAGUGGGUUAAGGAUCUGGCGUUUCCAUGUGCUGCAGUGCAGAUCGCAGAGGUGGAUCGGAUCUCAUGUUGCUGUGGCUGUGGCAUAGGUUGGCAGCUGCAGCUCUGAUUCCACCCCCGACUGGGAACCUCCAUAUGCCCUAAAAUGACCAAAAAAAAAAAAAAGAUAUUUCUUCCUAUUGCUAGGUGGAUUAUACACUGUGAAAUAUUUAGACUAAGAAUACAAGGUCUCAGAAAAUAUCAAGCUGCAGGUUCAGAAAAUGUAAUCAUAUGUAAAUUUAUUCUACAUUACUUUUACUUUCUGCUGUCAGAAAGUAUGGCAUGUCCUAAAUGCAGUGACUUACUCCUAUCCUUAGUGGAAUUUCCUCUAUAGUAUAAAGCAUACAUUUCUGCUGCCAUGGCUAUUGCUGGCUCAGUUUCCAUACUCUCAUUUUUCUCCCCAACUCUAUUGCUACAUUCUUUCCCCCAAGACAUUGAUAAAGCUCCUCAGUCCUGUAAAUGGCCAAGAUUAUCUCCCUCUGCCAAAACCCUUUCUCCUCUUCUUAUAUAACUUGGUAUUUACCAAUUACCUCUGUAAGUAAAAAAUCUAGGGAAACCUAAAUAGCACCUGUGUUUACCAGUGGGAUAGUCCAAAUAGGUAACUGAUUCUAAAUAACUGAUCCUGAGAAGUGACUCCUGGGAAACCAGCACCACCUCAGUUCUAGCAGUGGAAGCCCCUCUCCUGUGACAUAUACCCAUUGGUCUUCUGGAGGCAUGGAGAAUAAACACAAACCCUCAUCCACAUUUCAAACCUUCAAGAUUUAAGGAGAGUUUUGAUAAAGAAUCAGAAAUCAACAUAAAUUUGUAUGUAAAUAUGAAAUGUGUGCUUCUACUCAUAUAAAACUCCUUUAUUCUAAGGAUGUUCAUCUAUCCUCUCGUUCAUCCUUCAUAGUAUAGAAUUCCCAAAUGCUUCACUGGGCAAAUUUCCUUUUCAUAAAGACAGAAAACUUAUAUCAAAAUUUCCCUUUCAAAUUAUGGUAUCCAGAACUGGAUGUUAUAGUUUGAAGAUACAAUUGUUUCCCAUUCUUUUGGCUAAGAUUAAGUGAAGUUGCUCUCCUCAGCACAGUGUCCCAUAUCCUAACUUUAGCACAAGUACAGCCACCCCCUGUAUAAAAUUCAUACACCAUGAAAAUUUGAUUGAAUAUUGCCUAAUUCAUCCUCAAAAAAUGUUGACUGGGCCAGACUUUUUCUAGUACUUUAAGAACCACUAGCUGUAAGAGGACCAUAACACCCAGUGCAAAAAUGGGGUCCCUGGUUCAAAAAGCAAGAAAAAGUCAUAUUAUGUAAUAAAGUAGAAAGGCCUCUUUAGACAUAUUUUCUUAGUCAUAAAAUUGAUGGGAUUCCUAAUGAUAUAUAAGUAACAAUAUAAAUUUACAAAAUAAAAAAUUGGAGGUUACAAUUUUAUAUAAUUCAAUUACUAAUAAUACUUUAUUAGCUUUUAUCUUGACAAUAAAAUUUUUCUAGCUUGCUUUCCUAUAGAUUAUUCAUUAGAAUAUCAAAUAUUCAUUUUUAGGAACUUCAUUUCAAUCUCUUUAAAAUCAAUGUCAGCUCUUGUGGGUAAAUACAAGAUUGCGAACAGAAUAUUUGAGGGGUUUUUUUUGGGAGGGGUUUGUCUUUCUUUUUUCUUUUGUCUUUUUGCUGUCUUUUGGGCCGCUCCCGCAGCAUAUGGAGGUUCCCAGGGUAGGGGUCUAAUCAGAUCUGUAGCCACCAGUCUACGCCAGAGCCACAGCAACGCAGGAUCCGAGCCGCGUCUGCCACCCACACCACAGCUCAGGGCAACGCCGGAUCCCCAACCCACUGAGCAAGGCCAGGGAUCGAACCCGCAACCUCAUGGUUCCUAGUUGGACCUGAUAACCACCGAGCCACGAAGGGAACUCUGUGAAUUUUUAAUUUUGAGAAGAGUAUUUCUGUUGAUUCAAAUCAUAUUAGAGCUCUUAAGAGUAUUUUAUAUGUUGUGACAGUAUUAACAUAAAUACCUGAUAAAUUGGUUUGAAAUAUAAAUUCUAGUGUAUCUAGAACUGAUACUCUAGUGGAACAAUUUCCCUAUAACAAUUUAACUCUCCAUAUGAAUCAAGUUCAAAUAAGUCUAAAAUUAAUAUUAAAUGUAAAUUUCUAUAGUGGCAUUUUAUAUUUUCUGCCAAUUUCUGUAACAUGUAGAAAGCCUAUAGGAUUAAAAGUGGCUUCAUGAUUUGUUCAAAAUAGAUUGCUUGUUUAUGCAUCCUACCACUGUGUCUUCAAUGACAGGAAAAAGUAAUUGUCAAUUAUCUUCUGUGUUAAAAGUCAGCUCAUUGAAUUAGUUAAGACUUCACAUGAAAAUAGUAUGCUUUUUCAUUGGAGCUCUUAUCUUUACAUUAAUUUCUAUUUCUAAGCCUAUGGAUAUUUACUCUGCAUAUUGCAGCAAUUUUCAAAAUCAGAGUUUCUCAACUUUCUGAGAAUUCUAUCUCUCCUUACACUUUAUUGCAGUAUUCACAUAUAAGCUUUCGUUUUGUCAUAAUUUAUCAACAAGGUUUUCUGCUACCCGCUUUGGGACCCUGCUAAGCCACAGAUGGCCCCAAGCUUGCUG